rnacentral:rRNA from 1 species
CCUACGGGGGCUGCAGUGGGGAAUAUUGGACAAUGGGCGAAAGCCUGAUCCAGCCAUGCCGCGUGUGUGAAGAAGGCCUUCGGGUUGUAAAGCACUUUCAGUGGGGAAGAAAGCCUUGGGGCUAAUACCCUCGAGGAAGGACAUCACCCACAGAAGAAGCACCGGCUAACUCCGUGCCAGCAGCCGCGGUAAUACGGAGGGUGCGAGCGUUAAUCGGAAUUACUGGGCGUAAAGCGCGCGUAGGCGGUCUGAUAAGCCGGUUGUGAAAGCCCCGGGCUCAACCUGGGAACGGCAUCCGGAACUGUCAGGCUAGAGUGCAGGAGAGGAAGAUAGAAUUCCCGGUGUAGCGGUGAAAUGCGUAGAGAGCGGGAGGAAUACCAGUGGCGAAGGCGGCCUUCUGGACUGACACUGACGCUGAGGUGCGAAAGCGUGGGUAGCAAACAGGAUUAGAUACCCGAGUAGUC